GUAGCAUUGCAUACACUGUGUAUGAGUAGAGGAGGCACUUUUAAGAAAACUGAUACGCAAGAUAUUGCAAAUUUUUUUGGAGUGGGUGUUUGGAAUAUACAAAGAAUUUGGAGGAAAGCAAUGUUGCAAAUUCAACAAGGUCAAGAGGUAGAUGUUGCCGAUCAGAGAAAAGGAAAUUCUGGAAGAAAGCCUAAGGACAUUAACCUAGAAAAAAUCCUAACAAUCCCAUUAAACAGGAGGUCUACUAUUAGAUCACUAGCCUGGCAACUGGGAUGUAGCCCUACCACACUUCAUAGAAAGUUCAUGCUAAAUUUGAUUAGGAGGCAUAGAGAAAGUCUUGCCAGCGAUACAAGCAGUUUGGCCGGAAAGUGA
rnacentral:rRNA from 1 species